GACAUAGGUGGCAAACGUUAUCCGGAAUUAUUGGGCGUAAAGGAUGCGUAGAUGGUAGAAUAAGUUACUGGUCGAUGCCGAACUCAAUUUGACGGAAGCUGGUAAUACUGUUCUGCUCGAGGGCAGGAGAGGUUGAUGGAAUUCUGUGUGGAGCGGUGAAAUGCGUAGAUAUCAAGUGGAACACCAGUGGCGAAGGCGAAUCCCUGGAAAAUACCUGACACUGAGGCACGAAAGCUAGGGGAGCAAACAGG
rnacentral:rRNA from 1 species